rnacentral:rRNA from 1 species
GAUGAACGCUGGCGGCGUGCUUGAUACAUGCAAGUCGAACGGAGAGUGUAGCAAUAUACUUUUAGUGGCGAACGGGUGAGUAACGCGUUGGUGACCUGCCCCGAAGCGAGGGAUAACAGUUCGAAAGAACUGCUAAUACCUCAUGUGAUCACCGGUUUUAGAAUCUGGUGAUUAAAGGUGAAAAUCACUUCGGGAGGGGCCUGCGUCCCAUCAGCUAGUUGGUAAGGUAAUGGCUUACCAAGGCGAUGACGGGUAGGGGACCUGAGAGGGUGGCCCCCACAAUGGAACUGAAACACGGUCCAUACACCUACGGGUGGCAGCAGUAGGGAAUAUUGCAAAUGGGCGAAAAGCCUGAUGUAGCAACGCCGCGUGUGCGAUGAAGGUCUUCGGAUUGUAAAGCACUUUUUGGAGGGAUGAGGAAGGACAGUACCUCCAGAAUAAGCCUCGGCUAACUACGUG